CAGGUGAUUCUGAUAUCAUCAAGAGCAUGCCUGGUGACCAUUGAUUAGGCCAUGAGGAAUAGCAUUUCUCCCUAGGUUUUGGUCAUUUUUCUCCUUGCUGGGGUUGGGUUGGGAUGUGGGUUUUCAAUUGCAAACUACGAUAUUGUUAAGCAAUUUUGUGUGGAACUUGUUGAGCUCCUAUUGAUAGCCAUUUUAGUAAAUUUUAAUUAAUUGAAAUGAUGACGUAAAAUGAAUUUUCUGGUGAUAAGAUGUUGAGUAAAACUUCAUUCAAUUAUCUUAUUUGCAUCUGCUGUGCUAGGUGAAUAAAGUUUCCUUUGAUAUCUUGUGUUUCCAAAGUUCCUUUUAAUUAAAGUAACGAGUCUUUCAAGCACUGUGCUGCAUGUGAGCCAAAUUAUAAUAUAUACACGCACGCACGCAUGCACGAAACACUAGGCAACAGCUAAUCUGUACCACAAAACUGCGACCAUCAGUGGGGAUGGCAAUGAGUUAUGAUUUUGUGUAUACUUGAUCUAAUCGAAUUCUAAUAAGAUGAGUUUUUAUUAGAGUUGGGUUGUAUAUAAUUGUAUUUGGGAUGGAUUUAAGUUUGAAAUUUAAUACUUAUGGGAGAUUUGAAUUUUACGUAUUUGGUAUUCGUUGUCUAAGUGUGUACAAUUGAUCGGUUUGGUCUUGAACCGAAUUGAACUACUGAAUUACAUUUUUAAAGAAUCAAAAAAGCUGAAUCGAUUCAAAGUAGUAAAUUGAACUGAAUUAAAUUGAAAAAAAUCAGUUUGGUUUAAUUUGGUUUUAACCGAUCGGUUCAGAGUUCAAACUCCAUCUCCCAUUCAACAUUCA
rnacentral:misc_RNA from 1 species